rnacentral:rRNA from 1 species
UACAGAGGGGGCAAGCGUUGUUCGGAAUUACUGGGCGUAAAGGGCGCGUAGGCGGCCCGCUAAGUCGAACGUGAAAUCCCCGAGCUCAACUCGGGAACUGCGUCCGAUACUGGCGGGCUUGAAUCCGGGAGAGGGAUGCGGAAUUCCAGGUGUAGCGGUGAAAUGCGUAGAGAUGUGGAGGAACACCGAUGGCGAAGGCAGCCUCCUGGGCCAAUACUGACGCUCAUGCACGAAAGCGUGGGGAGCAAACAGG